rnacentral:lncRNA from 1 species
UAGCAAAAUCUUCCCUUUUUUUCAAUUGCAAGAAGUAGGUCUAUUGCAUCAUCUUUUCCCAAGUCACCAUAGAAUUUAGCAAGGUCUCUACAAUUUGUCUCCCAUUUUUUUUGAUUGUUGUAUUUGAAUUUCUUUUGUCGAUAAAUUUCAAUAGAUCAAGACUUUGUUAGCAAUUGUGUAUUUGUGUUUGUUGAUUUCAAUGUUAUGACUUUAUGAAAUAGUAUGGUAGUUUUUUUUUUGAAUUGAC